CUAAACUACAUUCUUUAUAAAACAUCUAUUAAAACAAACAUGAUAACUUUUAUUCAUGCUACAAAAUUAGACAGGAAAAAUAACCGAAAACAUUUAUUAGCACUGCCUCAUACUUCUACUGAAUCAAACAUGCCAAUAGUCCUGCCGAAAUACAACACAGAUUGUUUUCAUUAAAGACGUGUUCAUCUUAUUAAACACAUAUAUUGUCAAUUGGAGUAUCGAACAUACUUAUAGUUCCGUGUAUUGUAUCUCAAUAUAUUUGAUGUAUGUUCUAUCCCUAACAUUUUAUAAAUUGUUGUAUUAGUACCAAUGUUUUGUCUGAUUCAAAGAUUUUUGAAUCGAAUAAUCUCUUCAUUACGUACCGGCAUUGUUCUUGGAAACAUAUUUGUUCAUAGAAGCACGAUAGGGAUUUGUCACACUCUUUAAAAACAAUUUUGUAGAGGAAAAACAAUCUAACUUUUUUUAACGAAGACAGCAGUGAUAAAUGCAGAAAGAAGAACACAUGCAAACAGAGACAGCCAGUUUUCCUUCAAAAUCCUUUUUGUGAAUAAAGAUGCUGAAAUCGGAAUAAACGUUUUGUGAGUAUACUUUGCACGAUAUGUGUUUAAAACUACAUCUGCAUCUUGUGAAGUAUCAAUUUCAAAGAUUUCAAGCAAACGUUUUGUGUGAUCAUUUUUUCAAAAUAUCAUGAGAAAGAGCACAUUUCCGCUUCAAACAUUUACCAAGAAACCAGUCUUUACAUAUGUGAGUAAAUGGACAGUGAAAAUCACCAAGCAAACAUCCCUUGUAAUUAUGAUAACAGCAGGGACCCGUCACUCCAUUUUUUGCCAUAUCAGCCAGCUUUUCUUUACAUUUUUGCCUAUAGGUUUCCAGAAUGCAAUCAUAAUUGCCUUCGGUGAUAAAACCAAGGUCAACGAGGAUUUCCCUUGACUGAUUGGUUACCAAGUUAUGAUUUUUGUCACAACUCCCAUCACAUAUGUCAUCAUUGAUUAUGUACUUUGCACAUAUGUGUGGAUAUCGACAUGUUGAAAGUUUGUGUUCUUUAUCACGAUUGUAAUCGAUACAUGGAACUGCAACGAACUUAAUGUUCCUUCUGCUGCUUACAAGGUGAUC
rnacentral:lncRNA from 1 species